rnacentral:rRNA from 1 species
AGAGUUUGAUCCUGGCUCAGAACGAACGCUGGCGGCAGGCUUAACACAUGCAAGUUGAACGGGAACAUACGAUAGCUUGCUAUAGUAUGUGAGAGUGGCGCACGGGUGAGUAAUACAUGGGAACAUACCUUGAAGUGGGGGAUAACUUCUGGAAACGGAUGCUAAUACCGCAUAUACCCUGAGGGGGAAAGAUUUAUCGCUUUAAGAUUGGCCCAUGGCAGAUUAGGUAGUUGGUGGGGUAAAGGCCUACCAAGCCGACGAUCUGUAGCUGGUCUGAGAGGACGAUCAGCCACAUUGGGACUGAGACACGGCCCAGACUCCUACGGGAGGCAGCAGUGAGGAAUAUUGGGCAAUGGGGGCAACCCUGACCCAGCCAUGCCGCGUGAGUGAAGAAGGUUUUCGAAUUGUAAAGCUCUUUCGGAUGUGACGAUGAUGACGGUAGCAUCUAAAGAAGCCCCGGCAAACUUCGUGCCAGCAGCCGCGGUAAUACGAAGGGGGCGAGCGUUGUUCGGAAUUACUGGGCGUAAAGGGUGUGUAGGUGGACGUGUAAGAUAGCGGUGAAAUGCCGGAGCUCAACUUCGGAAUUGCCAUUAUAACUAUGCGUCUAGAAUUAUAGAGAGGAUAGCGGAAUACCCAGUGUAGAGGUGAAAUUCGUAGAUAUUGGGUAGAACACCAGUGGCGAAGGCGGCUAUCUGGCUAUAUAUUGACACUGAGGCACGAAAGCAUGGGGAUCAAACAGGAUUAGAUACCCUGGUAGUCCAUGCCGUAAACGAUGAAUGCUGGUUGUCGGACGAAUGUUCGGUGACGAAGUUAACGCGAUAAGCAUUCCGCCUGGGGAGUACGGCCGCAAGGUUAAAACUCAAAGGAAUUGACGGGGACCCGCACAAGCGGUGGAGCAUGUGGUUUAAUUCGA